rnacentral:rRNA from 1 species
AGUCAACAUAACCAAAGGACGUGGAUAAACUCGGGAAACUGAGGCUAAACCGCGAUAGAUCAAGAUACCUGGAAUGGUUUUUGAUCAGAAUCUAUAUGGCCUUUGGAUUGGACUGCGUCCGAUCAGGCUGUUGGUGAGGUAAUGGCCCACCAAACCUGUAACCGGUACGGGCUCUGAGAGGAGGAGCCCGGAGAUGGGUACUGAGAAAAGGACCCAGGCCCUAUGGGGCGCAGCAGGCGCGAAACCUCUGCAAUAGGCGAAAGCCUGACAGGGUUACUCUGAGUGACUUUCGCUAAGAAAGUCUUUUGACACCUCUAAAAAUGGUGUAGAAUAAGGGGUGGGCAAGUCUGGUGUCAGCCGCCGCGGUAACACCAGCACCCCGAGUGGUCGGGACGAUUGUUGGGCCUAAAGCAUCCGUAGCCGGUUUUACAAGUCCUCCGUUAAAUCCAGCUGCUUAACAGAUGGGCUGCGGAGGAUACUAUAAGACUAGGAGGCAGGAGAGGCAAGCGGUACUCAGUGGGUAGGGGUAAAAUCCGUUGAUCCAUUGAAGACCACCAGUGGCGAAGGCGGCUUGCCAGAACGCGCUCGACGGUGAGGGAUGAAAGCUGGGGGAGCAAACCGGAUUAGAUACCCGGGUGGUCCCAGCUGUAAACGAUGCAGACUCGGUGAUGAGUUGGCUUAUUGCUAACUCAGUGCCGCAGGGAAGCCGUUAAGUUUGCCGCCUGGGGAGUACGGUCGCAAGACUGAAACUUAA